UACGGAGGAUGCAAGCGUUAUCCGGAAUGAUUGGGCGUAAAGCGUCCGCAGGUGGCUGUGUAAGUCUGCUGUUAAAGAGUGAGGCUCAACCUCAUAAGAGCAGUGGAAACUACACAGCUAGAGUGCGUUCGGGGCAGAGGGAAUUCCUGGUGUAGCGGUGAAAUGCGUAGAGAUCAGGAAGAACACCGGUGGCGAAGGCGCUCUGCUAGGCCGCAACUGACACUGAGACGCGAAAGCGUGGGGAGCGAACAGG
rnacentral:rRNA from 1 species